CGUGUCGCUCAACAACUAUGACCAACUGGGAGUCUCUGCAAGUGGUGGCAGUCGGCGUUUUUAGAAUAAGAUGAUCCAAAGCAGGGACUUGUUUGAGGCCACAAUCAGGAUGGCAGUGAAAGAACUAUAAUUGAAGCAUUGAACAUGGCCACAUUGAAUUUACUGAAUAUUUAUGUUCCAAUUGCAGCGAGCAGAUCCGAUAAAAAAAGAAGCAUCUCAGAUUGACAUCCAUAAAGUUCAGACAUUUCAGAAAUGACUUUCCUGCGUGGUGCUCCACUUACUCAGCAUGGAGGAGCCACUGUCCACUAGAGGACCUAGCCUCA